GUUCUUUGAAAAGUAGAUAAACAUGAUUUGCUUAAUUCAAUUAAAAUUGAAGAAAGUAAGGGCGUACAGUGAAUGCCUUGGCACUAAGA
rnacentral:rRNA from 1 species